CAAAAAUACCAACCAACAUUUAACUCAACAACCUAAACUCUGAAUUUCAAAGAUAGUCUUUGAGAAAUCACGCUCUGGAAUACACCUGGCCUCCGAGGUUCCGCAUAUGAAUGCGUUUGAACAGGUAUUGUGUAAUGCAGAAAGAUCUUGCAAUAUGUCGAAUUGGAACGUGCUUCUCACUUCGCGCAAUGAUCAUUGUUGUCAUUCAAUCGAGCGCCUUAAUAUACUUCGGUAGUGAUGGCGCAAUUGUACCACCGCCUUGGAGUAACAUUGAUAAAAACCCAUGCGCCGCAUUGCCUGGUGGCUGGCAAAUGCUUUAUUGGGCGCCACUCAAAAAGUGUUUCAAGAUAUUUCAAGUGGGCUAUCCAUGCCCGGACACAAUGGAACUAAGUCCACCCUCCAAUAACAACCAUACAGCAGAAUGUCGAUGUCCACCGGGAACUGCGCAAAGUGUUUUAAAUGAUGAAUGUCAUACAUUGUUUACGAAAGGCCCAUGUAGUGACGGUGAAUAUUUCAGUCCGGUGACCGAUGUGAGGACUCUCAGUACUUGGAAGACAGGAGGAGCGCAGAAACUAGGAAAGUGCAAAUUAGGUCGCAAUUGCCCUAAUGGAUCUGUGUUCUGGCCACCUGAUGAUAAAUGUUAUGCAUUGUAUACACGUGGCCCAUGCCCUAAAGGAAAGCUUUUAACGGUUGGAGCAGGUCAAAUUGGCGAAUGCAAGUGCGAAAAUCGGGGAGCAUUAGCUGCAUAUUUCUAUAAUGAAGAGGAUUCAUGCUAUGAGCAUUUUACAAAGGGCCCAUGCCAAAAGUUUGGUGAAUUAUUUUUGCCCAGUCGAAAAUGUGGAUGUCAUCCCAAACUACCACACUAUUAUGAGAAAACGAAUCAGUGUUUUGAAAUAGGAACGCCGGGACCAUGUUCAAAAGGUCACAUAUUUACUGUUUCGGAAAACACUGACGACCAAAAUCCUCAUGCUUCCUGCGUCUGCAAAACAGGCUACAUCCCUUGGUCUGAUGGUUCAUGCUACCGGCUCUACACCCGUGGUCCAUGCGCUGAAGGACAAUUUCUUAUCAACAGCACUACUUGUACACCAAAUAUCUGUGGAAAAGGGCGUCUUUACUUUCCAGAACAAAAUACCUGUUACAAAAUUGGAUCGCAGGGACCGUGUUCAUUGUAUGAAGUGGUCGUUUUCGACUUCACUUCAAGGCCCUCAGUGGAUGGGAUAUCAUACAACGGAGUUUGUGGUUGCACUGCCUUGAUAAAAGGAUUGGAGCAAACCUGUACUUCCACUCAGGAGGAGGAAAAAUCAGAUAGCUGCGACUCGACUCCUGGAAUGAUCAACAUUAAUGGCAUUUGUUAUAAGCUAUAUACCCAGGGCCCCUGUGGAUCGGGACAAUGGUUAGAGCCAGUGAAACAGUUAUCAUCCGAAGAGCUUACGUCUUCGAAUAAAGUACAAUGCAAAUGUCGACCUGGCUACACGACUUCAGAGACAAAAUCAGGGACAUUACGGUGUUUCGCUCCGACCGUGGGGUUGGCUAGGUAUUUGAAUAGCCAGAAUUUUAAUCAUAGAUCGUACAAGUUUGGCUUCCGUAAAAUAAUUUCUGUAACACAAGUAAAAUGACCUACAUUACCAUAUCUUCUAUGAUAACUCCUUUUCUAGUGAUAUCAUUUAUCUCCUGCCUUUAGAUGCUAGUCAUUUUCCGUGUCUACUCUAUAUGUAAUUUGUUGUGAAUAACAAUCAGACGAUAGUGCAUGAAACUUUUCUCCAUAUUAAUUACUUCUCGAACCAAAUAUGUGUGUAUGUAUAUAACGCAUGGCGAUUAUUACAAUAGAAACAACCACAAAAGGACUAUAAACUGUGAAAGGUCAGUUCUAAAUAAUUCAAUUGUUUUUAUAGGUGGAUACUUCAAUUGAUAGGGUACGAGGAGGCAACCUAGGACUAUGCUAUGAUUAAUUGGUAUUUUACAAAGUUACCGAAAGCACUUUUCCAUAAAUUGUGUAUAGUCGUUAUCGAAUCGUGCCAUGACAACUUUCAUUUUGUUGAGAACUUUACCAAGAAUUAAUUUUAUUAUGUAUGACCCAGUUAUCAAUAAACCUUAAGUUCAAGCUCCAGUUGGUAAACUCUUUCAGUUUUCACGUCAAGUUCACACUAAAUAAAAAAAAAAUUUGAAUGUUAAAGUAUCGAUUUCGAAAUAGGAUUUUAGGAUUUAUAUUUAAUUUGAAUAUAUAUUUUUCUAUUAGUUACAUUAACUGUUGUAUUCAAAAAUAUUGUUAAAAAAUAUAAUUAAGGAAUGUAUAUUCAUUUGAAA
rnacentral:misc_RNA from 1 species